CUCAGGGCCUCCCUGUCACUGGGAAUGGCUGCUGUUCUUGUCAGGGGAGCUCUAAUCUUCACCAUGAGCAUCACUUUCUGGCCCCAAUGUGGAUCCCUCAGCUUGGUGGUAUAUGUCCUUCAUCUCACUGGCAUAGGUUUUCUGACUUCCACCACAGGCCUUUGGGCCUUCUGGGCUCACAUCCUCAACAUGGACAAGCACGAGACAUUGCCAGGGCUCCAGGCAUUCUGUGCUUUAACUUGGGCUCCAGGCCACUGGCUGGACUCGUGGAGGAAAUUGCCUUGGACUCUACGCCUUCAGCUGGACUUGUGUGGGACACUGCUGGGAUCCAGGCCCUUGGAUGGAUUUUUGGGGCCCCUACUGUGCAUUUAAUCUCUUGUACUCCUUUGCAUUUGACUUUUGGGGUAAUUAUCAUAAAAUAAUCCCACAAAUUAUGUGCCCUGUAUUUAAAGUAUUCCCUUGCCAAGACCCUGACUACAAAAGCCACAAAUCUGAGUCUUUGAAAAAAGCAAGAAUAUGAAUUGUGUUUCUGGCAACGGUGUGAACAGGCACUUCCAGACCAUUCCUCCCAAAGAUGAGAACUUCAAAAGCCCAAUGAACAUGAAAGCACACUCCUAAGAGCAUCAAAGACCUGACAAAGGGCUAACUAAUAACUGCACAACAGUACAAAGGAAAGCGAGAAGUCAGAGAGAUAACAGACCAGCCACAGCCCUUGUGUACUGAAGAGACAGUGGAAGAGCUCACGGUGAAGACAGGGGAUCUCGCACUCUUGUUGACCACCAUCUGGAUGGACUAAAACAUCCCAGGCACAGAACUUGGAUCAAGAAGCUCCUACACAGGUAAUGCCACCAGAAACCUGGCAGAACCACACAAAAGGCCUCUCUGGAGAAAGGCACCUUCAUCCUAGCCAUCACAUAUUCUUAAAGAUAAAUUUCCAAAUAAUAUGGCCACUAAACAACACGCAUAACAAGAAACCAGCUCAGUGAGAAUCAACAGAAACAACAGACAAUAGGAAGAGACACAGAAAUCUCAAGGAUUCACAUCUUUCAUGAACUGUGAAAAAACUUAUCACCCCUUGAAUAUUGUGUUUCAUCCCAUUCUUCUAACUGGACAAGUGAUGAAGAUUCUGCUAGAGUACCUCAUUCUGGGCAAGUCUCUCAGUCUCUUACAUCGUCUAUCCCACUGGCACUCUCUGCUACCCCCUAGGUAACUUCUCAGACACUAUCUCACAUAGGCAGAGCAUCUCGAAUCUGAAGCUCGAAAACUCAUCCUGCUGAGAAGCCUGAGGCAUGUUGCGUCCUGGCAGGGUGCCAUCAGUGAAAAACCCACAGGUAAAGACGACUGAGAAGACCGGAGCGGAGGCCCCGGGGGUGUAUAAGGCCUAUAUGGAACACGAAUGAAUUUCAUGCUUUAACUUGGGCUCCACCCCCACGAUAUCCGCACUUAUACAUACACAGAUACUCUGAAAUUUAAAAAAAACCUUCUGUUCUGAAUCAUUUUAA
rnacentral:lncRNA from 1 species